rnacentral:rRNA from 1 species
UACAGAGGGUGCAAGCGUUGCUCGGAAUCAUUGGGCGUAAAGGGUAGGUAGGUGGUCUCAUUUGUGUGGGGUGAAAGCCUUGGGCUUAACUCAAGAAGUGCCCCGCAAACGGUGAGACUAGAUCCUAGAGAGGCUAGCGGAAUUCCCGGUGUAGCGGUGAAAUGCGUAGAGAGUCGGGGAGGAACACCAGAGGCGAAGGCGGCUAGCUGGAUAGGCACUGACACUCAACUACGAAAGCGUGGGGAGCAAACAGG